rnacentral:rRNA from 1 species
AUUGAACGCUGGCGGAAUGCUUUACACAUGCAAGUCGAACGAUGAACCUUAGCUUGCUAAGGGGAUUAGUGGCGAACGGGUGAGUAAUAUAUCGGAACGUGCCUUGUAAUGGGGGAUAACUAGUCGAAAGAUUAGCUAAUACCGCAUACGCCCUGAGGGGGAAAGUAGGGGAUCUUCGGACCUUACGUUAUAAGAGCGGCCGAUAUCUGAUUAGCUAGUUGGUGGGGUAAUGGCCUACCAAGGCGACGAUCAGUAGCUGGUCUGAGAGGACGACCAGCCACACUGGAACUGAGACACGGUCCAGACUCCUACGGGAGGCAGCAGUGGGGAAUUUUGGACAAUGGGCGCAAGCCUGAUCCAGCCAUUCCGCGUGAGUGAAGAAGGCCUUCGGGUUGUAAAGCUCUUUCGCAAGGGAAGAAAGCUUACCAUCGAAUAAAUGGUGAGGCUGACGGUACCUUGAUAAGAAGCACCGGCUAACUACGUG